rnacentral:rRNA from 1 species
CCUACGGGAGGCAGCAGUCGGGAAUUUUGGGCAAUGGGCGAAAGCCUGACCCAGCAACGCCGCGUGAAGGAUGAAAUCCUUCGGGAUGUAAACUUCGCAAGAACGGGAAGAAUAAACCGAUGUUAACACCAUCGGCGAUGACGGUACUGUUUGUAAGCUCCGGCUAACUCCGUGCCAGCAGCCGCGGUAAUACGGGGGGAGCAAGCGUUGUUCGGAUUUACUGGGCGUAAAGGGCGCGUAGGCGGCCACCGCAAGUCGGUUGUGAAAUCUCCGGGCUUAACCCGGAAAGGUCAAUCGAUACUGCGGGGCUAGAGUGCAGAAGGGGCAACUGGAAUUCUCGGUGUAGCGGUGAAAUGCGUAGAUAUCGAGAGGAACACCUGCGGCGAAGGCGGGUUGCUGGGCUGACACUGACGCUGAAGCGCGAAAGCUAGGGGAGCGAA